GAAACUGUUUCAUGGCUGCUGAGAGUCUGGUACAUCCGAAACAAUUUAUUGGCACGGGCCGAAGAAAACCACGCAAACACAGUGUACAAAGUACCAUGCAGGGAGGACAAAAUUUUACACCACAUAAACCAACACAUUUGCACGUAUUUUCCAGCAAGUGAAGUGUAGACGAGAAAUUUGUGAAUAAAAAAUAAAAUAAUUAAACAAAAAAACAUUUCAUGUUUUGUCCUUUUUAAUUGAUGACAACUUUCCACUAUGCAGAGCCGAUAACGCACCCAUACCUACGCGGCACUACACACUAACACAUGCGCAAAAAAGUUCUUCGUUAAGCGGCUUCUUAGUGGCUUCUUAAUGUCCUUAAGAAGCCACUAAGAAGCCCGCUUAACGAAGAAUUUGACCGC